AGCGCCGCGUAAGCGGGCCGACGGUCGACUCCGGCGGUGUUAGGGACCCCAGCCCGGCCCCGGAAAGCUGCGG
rfam:Mycobacterium noviomagense strain DSM 45145 NODE_35_length_49428_cov_9.30186, whole genome shotgun sequence.